CUCUCUGAUGGUGUCUUCUGCUUCCCCAGUGCAGCAGGUCAAGAUGCUAUCUUCUCUAGCUAUGACAGUUUUAGAUGGACUCUUUUUCCAAAAUAAGACUGCUUUGUCUGCAUUAAAAAUAUGAUGUUAUAGAGACAGCUUCUUGCCUUAAACCUCAUGAAGCAACUUCUGCAAGCUUCAAAUUUUUCUUUUGCAGCUUCCUCACCUCUCUCAGCCUUCAUAGAAUUGAAAAAAGUUAGGAUCUUGCUCUCGAUUAGGCUUUGGCUUAAUGGAAUGUGGUAACUUAUUUGAUCUUCUGUCAAGACCAAUCUUUGGUGCUCUUCUCAUCUCACCUUAAGUGUUCUCGUGGGUUGACCUCAACUGAUCCCACAGCUUCCAUUUCUAAUGCAUUAAGCACGAAAAGUUCUCAUUCUCCAGCCUCUCCCUCUCUCCUGGUCUCUAAACCCAACAUUUUCAACCCUCACUGUAACUCCAAAUGCAGUGUGCACAAAAUAAGACUGCUACACCAACAAAUCAAAAUGUGUGUACUCCCAGUUAUUUAUCUGUUCCUAUUUUGGUUAAAGACAUCCUUCAUCAUC
rnacentral:lncRNA from 1 species